UGAACCCUGUAGGCACCUUGUGGUAGCAGAGAGACUGAUGGGGAAUAGGAAGGCUGCUGCAGGAUGAAGAGGAAGCCCAGGAGGAAGAUACUUGGAAGACCCAGAAAUGGAGCAAACUCCAAUGGCUGACCCUGACUCAAGGAACCAGCCCCCUAGGAAGGAGCUUGGGAGGUGUUGCUUCUUACAGAGAGCCCAGGAAGGGGCUGGGGAAAGGCCUGAAGAGAGGCUAAUGGAAAAAGAUUUAAAGGGACCAUCCAUGUGUAACCCCUUUGGGGUUUAGAGAGCAAGAGGUGAAACUAAAACAUCACCUGGCUGGAGGGCUGAGUCACAAGAAGACAGACCAUCACAGGACUAGUGGCUGUUGGCAGGAUGGGCUAGAAAGGAAUGAGCUGCUACACUAUGCCCAGCCACAAGGUGGCACACCAGCAAAGAGACCACACCUCCGCAAGAUGCAGCAUUGCAAG